CUGGAGUCAGAGUCGAAUAGAGGAUUCAUCGCUUCUUUCUCUCAUGCAAAACCGUGCAUGAGACUUUCAUCUCGCACGGCUCCUAAGUGAUAAAAGAAAGAAGAACUCGUCUUCUCUCUUUUUUGAUUACCUUCCUCGCGUAUGUAUAAGACCGAAUCCAUUCUUUUUGGAAAUCGAUUUCGAAAAAGAACUACUAAUCCUUAACUUUUCGAGGAAUCCUUCAUC